GUCCUCGGUACCCACGAAACGGAUCCAAAGAGUCUCAACACCAAUGUAACAUCCCACCCUGACCCAUCUUUGCCCUCUGAGGAAAGCGGGCCCGAAAUGAGUUAUUCAUGCCCACCGCGGGGUCAGGGACAAGGAGCAGUUGAGUGGCCGAGGAGGAAGAGAGAAACGAAUCCACUCGGGUCUUCCAGGCUGUUGGUUACCCAAUUGGGCUUUCACAGCAGAGCUGCCAAAUGCCAGAAUUGAGGCCUCGGUGAAAAGCGCGCUUAGACUUGAGGAGGAGGCCAGGUGGGACCCGCGAGCCUUAUCUCCCUGCCAAACUCUGCCGUUCAUUAAGCGGCUGCUUCUCCUCCUAACUGGCGAAGGACUCAGGUGGGCGGGGCAAAGCUCAGCCUGGGAGGCGGCGGAAGCGAGUAGCUCGGCAGGGAGACUCGCUUGGCUUUCGUGCGGUCCGUGGACGCAGUCGCGCGGGUAGGUGACCGGCUUGGAUUUCAAAGUCCUGCAGGAAAUCCUGCCCUCUGGGUUGCACUUCCUGGUUGAGCCUCUGAAGUCUCAAGCAGCAUUGUUUUAGUGCUUUGAUGAAGCUCAGCACGCUACCGAAAUCUCCAUUAUCCAUUUGUAUUAUUUCUUUAGAAAACUCAACAAUCUUUUUGUUGGAGGUGGGGAAAUGAGAAGGUGAUGUUUUGUUUUGCUUUUUCUCAUUUUUUUUUUAAAGGGGGAGUAGAUGACAGUGUUCUCCUUAAGGAGGAAGUUUGACUUUUGAAACAUACCACAUGCUUAAAACACAUUUGAGUUCCUGCAUGAACAGUAAGCUAGCAGAUGGUAGAAAUAUUCGUUAUUAAUUCAAAAAAUAUUUACUGCGGACCUACAAUGUGCCAAGCAUGUCUCCUGACUCUGGGGAUAAGCAGUGAACAACAAAAAGACCAAGUUCUUCCACCCUGAGGCUUAUAUUCUAGGUCUUUGUGGGAAGAAACAAAGAAAUCACAAAAGUAAUUAAGAGAGCUCAAAUAAUGGGGUUUAUGCCAGUUACAUGCAAGGAUCCUGCAUAUUUCAGGGACCCUAACGUUUAUAACAUCAGGUAUCGGGAAUAAAUUCUAUCACAUUGCCACUAAUAAACUUUUUUUAUAGUAAGUGCUUGUAUGAUGCCAAUACUGACUCAAACCAACCUUUGGAUAGAAAAGUGUUUCAGGAGUGACGUAAAGAAUGACACUUCUCCUUCAUAUCAAUCAAGGUUCAUUAAGCAGAUCGCUUAUUUAAAAUGUUAUCACAUUUUACAUAUGUUGAAUAAAAGUGGUUCUGUAUGACUGUCAUUAUAUCUGGUCCCCAGAUAGCUCAUACAAUGUAAUACACCAUUCAAUUGAAUGGAGUUAAAACUGCUCAGAAUGAUUUUCUAACUAGCAAAUGUAAGUAUGCCUGGUUAAGAGAUCUUUCCUUUGUAGAAAUGUUACAUUGGGAUGUAUAGUGGUGCUGUCAACAGGAGGACAAAAUAUUCCUAGACAAGUCUAUCCUCAAACCAGUAGUGUCUUUUACAUAAAAAGAUUAUUUACAUCUAAUAGACACUGAAGGUGAUAAACAUGUAUGUAUAUAUGUAUCAGUUCUGAGUUCCACUGACCUGUCCCAAACACACUGGAUUACCAGGCUUGUACUGUACUCAAAAUUAUGGAUUUGCUAAAUUUCGGGCAAAGGACUCUAAAGUAGGGGAGACAUUACUGUUUGUGUUGGGUUAUAGUUGCAUAAUAAUCAAGGCUACCAGAUUUAGCAAGUACAAAUGUAGGACAAAUUUAAAUUUUAGAUCAUGUUUUGCAAAUUUAUUGCGUGAUAUACAGCAUUAUAUCUGGCAACUCUAGCCAUAGUGUACUUCUAAAAACUUAUCACUUAAGGAGAAUUUUAAUGACUCAGAUAAAUUUUCAUAUAAAUUUCUUCCCACAUUGUGAAAAUGAGGCUAUUCUUGCUUUUCUGAUACUUUUCUUUUUUAAUGAGAUGGUUCUCACUGUGUUGCCCAGGCUGGUCUCUAAAUCCUGACCUCAAUCCGUCCUCCUGCCUUGUCUUCCCGAAGUGCUGGGAUUAUAGCUGUGAGCCACUGUGCCUGGCCUCACUUUUCCAAUUCUAAAGAAUGUGUCUGUGUAAGCCUUUCCCUCAACAACUUAUUGAAAGGUGAAAAAAGGUUUGGAAAUAAAAGCAUCUGAUGUUCGAAAAAGUACUUUGUAAAAUAAAUGCACUAAGACUUAUCUGUGGAUUACUGCAAACAGGUGAACAUAGUAAAAACAAAUGAACUUACCUUUACUAGGUAAGCAAGUAGCUCAACCUAGUAAAAACAAUAAAAAUGUUUGGCUUUACCCAUCAGCCAAAU